UAGUAUUGCCAAGUAUUUGUU
rnacentral:piRNA from 1 species